UGCACCUAAAAGCGUUUUCUUGUCCACUCUUUUAAUAUGUGCUUGAAAAUCGUAGAUGUGUGCUAAAGUAAUCGUCACAGUAGCAAGAGAUUUGAAUUUUAAACCAAAAUCAAAUCCAAUUAAACUGCGCUCAUGU